CUGUGACCUACACCACAGCUCACAGCAAUGCCAGAUCUUUAACCCACUGAGCGAGGCCAGGGAUAGAACCUGUGUCCUCAUGGAUGCUACUCAGAUUCAUUUCCACUGAGCCAGGACGGGAACCCCAAGGAACUGAGUAUUGAGUUGAGGGUUACAACCUGUUACAAUCUGUUACAAUGACUAGCAUUGUUUAUAAAAUACAGUUAUUUUCUCACUUGCUUCUGUCUCUCCAUUUCCACAGUUACCUCAGGUUUUUCCUCCUUUUCUUCAUUUCUUUCACUUACAUUGCAAAGAAUUAUUGUAUGUCCAACAUGAUGCUAGGGACACAGCACAUCCCACAGUAACUGUGUUCAGAGCAGCCCAAACGAGUAAUCGGCCACCUUACAAUUCAACAAGCACAACAGGGAGGUCUACUCAUUCUUUAGGAGACGUGUCAGCAAACUACAGUCUGGCUGUUUUGGUAAAUGUUAUGGGAGCAGAGCCAUGCUCAUUCACUUACAUCUUAUCUGAGAGGAGUGGCCCUAGAACCUGCAAGAAAACAAGAAGAACCGAGAAGGCCUGUAACCUGCAGCUUUCUUGCAACACUAACUGUGUUGAGUGGUAAUGACAGAGACUGCCCCACCAAACCUAAAAUAGUUUCUGAUCCUUUGCAGAAACAGUUUCAGAAAAAGCAUGAAAAAUGUUGGAAAGGAUUCUCAAAGGAGAUGACACAUGAAGUGGAUUUGAAGGAGUUCACUACGGUAGAAAAAGAGGAAGAGUGCAUUCUGGGGAGGACAAUAGUCAAACAGAAAAUAUGCAUCAAAUUUUAAUGACAGUCUGAAGGUUCUCUCUUCCUUCUUCUGUGCCCUUAUCUUUUUAUCCAUCACAGACAUUUUUCCAGCAUAUCUUUUGGAACUUUAAGCCCACCCUUAAUUUUGCUUACUAGAGGCACUAACACAGAAAGAUCAUACACUUCAGAAGAAAUCAUCAGUAGAAUUAAAGACAGGUCAGUAGAGAUUUUCCAGUCUGAAUCUCAGAGAAAAAAAUGAUUGAAAGGAAAAAGAACAGAGAGUGCAUCAGUGACCUAAGGGAUCAAACCAAAUGGUCUAACAGACAUGCAACUGCAAGCCCCAGAAGAGAGAGAGAAAAAAUAUUUUAAGAGCCAAUGACAGAGGAGCUUUCAAACUUGAUUAGGAAUAUUCACCCUGGAAUCCAAGAAACUCAGUGAAUCUCAAGCAAGAAGAACACAAGCCAAACAACACUGGGGUAUAUUUUGGUCAAAUUGCUGAAAAUCACAGAUAAAGAGAAACUCUCAUACACAAUGAGUUAAGAGGAGACACUUCGUACAAACAAAGAUGGAGGUAUUUGCUUUUCAUCAAAGCGAAGUAGGUCAGAGGGCAAUGGAAUAACAUCAUUUGGGUGCUGAAGAAGGGGGACUGUCAGUCUGGGGUUUUAUAACCAGCAAAGAUAGCAUUUAAUUAUGGGACUGAAGUGGAGAUGUUUUCAGACUGUUAAGGUUGAAAGAAGUUAAUGCCAGAGACCCAAACCAUAUAGACGCUAGAGGAGGUUCUUGAGGCUGACAGAGGGCAGUGAAGGACUCAGCUCUACAGGAAAUACUGAAGCACCCCAGAGAUAAUAAAUGUGGAAGCUGUCUUUUUUUUUCUUUUUCUCAAUAUAUUUGGCAGAAAACGACUAUUUAAAACAAAAGUGAUGGCAAUAUUUUGUACGCUGGUAUCGUGUAGAAGUAAAAUAUAUUAGGGUCAUGGGAGCCCAGGCUGGAGAGGGUGGAUGGAAGUAUAUUGUUGUAGGAUGGUUGGCUUAUAUAUGAGGUAGUAUCAUGUUAUUUCAAAUGAGACAGUGAUGAGGUGGGGAUAAAUAUUGUGAUCCUAUAGAAAACACUAAAAAAUAAAAGGAUAAAAUUAAAAACAACCUAAGAAAUAACCUAUAAUGAUGAACUAUGACUUUCUGACCUUGACCUACCCUAAUAAAUAUCAUCUCUAUCACUACCUGUACACAAGUCCUCCACAACAAUCUUACACACGAGAACAAAGAACAGAAAAAAUGAUCGAAAGUAAUAUAAUGAUUACUAAGUACAAUGAAUGUCUUAGUUUUUCACUUUUUAACAUCAAUCAUUACCUAUUGAAUAAAUUUAUUAUCAAAUUUUACAGGGAAUCACAACAUGAAAACGGAAAAACAUUUUUAAUAGCAUCUGCUAUGUGUGAGGUCGUUUACUUUAAAAAUAUUUUUAUUUUUUUUUACCUAAGUGAUGUUUAUGAAAAAAAUUCCAGAAGAGAGGUUAUCCCCAUUUUAGAAUGAGGAAACUGACAUGGAGAAAUUGACUAACAUUCUUAAGACUGGAAGGCUAAUAAGUGGAAAAGUUAGGAUUUCAAUAUAGAUUUAAGUAUAAGAAGUCCAAUUGUGGUGCUUUUACCACUAUGUCACACUACCCCCACCUUGACCACUAUAUUUGGGGGCCCUGAGUGCCAGUGAUAUAUGCAUGUAACUAUAUGUAUUUUUCUUGGGAUAAAAGACAAGUUUUUAUCCAUAGCCUGGAAAAAGAUUAAGAAUCACAGUACUGCCCUGCCCUAAUUUACAGUUUGUUUUUUUUCCUACCAGAUAACUAAGAUCUGUUCACAUUAUUUGAGCAAAUGAUUUAAAAAGCUCCCUGACCAUGAUAAACCUUUUAACUUCCAAGGCUUCAUAUCCUAUACUUUCCUUUGUAUAUGCUAUUGGUGAGUGGGUGGCUACAGAAAUCUACAAAAUAUAUGAGAAACUUUAAUCUACUGAAGCUAUUCUUUUAGUUCUAAGGUUCUAUAAACCUAUAAUUCUAAUCAAGGACUCAGCCACCUGCUAUUCUAUAACUAAGCCACAAGAUGGGCAGUUGUCUAAAUUACUCACAAAGAUAUACAAAGGCAGGGGUUCCUUUGUUUCUUUGUUGGUUUGCCCUGAAGUUUUGCAAGGCCUAAAGUUAAUUAGAGUCUCAGUGCAAUUUAAUCAUAUUCCUCUUAGUUCGCUGUCUAUCAUACAGAUAAAAUAAUCUGCUUUUCCUCAGGAUAAUCAUUUUUUCACAUACUUAUAUAAUUGAAAAUAACUAUUUAUUCAGCAUUUAGCUUUUUUCUCUCUAGACUAAAUAAAUACAAUCCCCUUAA